UCUGAGCCUUCCAGCAGUACACCCAGCAACGUGACCAAGAUCUGUCAUGGGUGGGUUCAUUCUCUGGCAUCCUCAUGCUCUAAUAAGUCUUCAGUCUCUAAACUCUGUCAUUUAUGAAGAGGGCAGCAUCAGGUCUCAAACAGCAGAUUGAAGGCAGCUGUUUGAUGUGACACAGGUGUUCAGAAGGUCAGAAUAACUUCCAGGGAGAUGGCUUGCUGGACAGAGGGUAGGCGAUGUGAUCAAAGUUGUUUAACUGUUCACCUGAAAGGAAUAAGAAUAUCUGGAUUAAUGCCAGUGAAUGCCAGAGCAUGGGAGGAUCUGAGUUCCCAGAAAGCAUCUUUGAAGUGAGCGCAUUGGUUUGUUAUAA